UACAGAGGUCUCGAGCGUUAAUCGGAGUCACUGGGCUUAAAGGGUGCGUAGGCGGAUCUUCAAGUGUCUUGUGAAAUCCCACGGCUCAACCGUGGAAUUGCUCGAUAGACUGGAGAUCUUGAGGUUGGUAGGGGUCGCUGGAACUCUAGGUGGAGCGGUGAAAUGCGUAGAUAUCUAGAGGAACGCCGAAGGUGAAGACAAGCGACUGGGCCAAAUCUGACGCUGAGGCACGAAAGCGUGGGGAG
rnacentral:rRNA from 1 species